rnacentral:rRNA from 1 species
UACAGAGGUCUCAAGCGUUGUUCGGAUUCAUUGGGCGUAAAGGGUGCGUAGGUGGCGCCGUAAGUCAGGUGUGAAAUUUCGGAGCUUAACCCCGAGCCUGCUUCUGAUACGGGCAGACUAGAGGUAUGCAGGGGAGAACGGAAUUCCUGGUGUAGCGGUGAAAUGCGCAGAUAUCAGGAGGAACACCGGUGGCGAAGGCGGUUCUCUGGGCAUUACCUGACGCUGAGGAGCGAAAGUGUGGGGAGCGAACAGG